CACUCUGGAGGCAGAGGCAGGGG
rnacentral:piRNA from 1 species